rnacentral:rRNA from 1 species
ACCUACGGGAGGCAGCAGUGGGGAAUAUUGCACAAUGGGGGAGACCCUGAUGCAGCAACGCCGCGUGAGUGAAGAAGUAUUUCGGUAUGUAAAGCUCUAUCAGUAGGGAAGAAGAAAGACGGUACCUGACUAAGAAGCCCCGGCUAACUACGUGCCAGCAGCCGCGGUAAUACGUAGGGGGCAAGCGUUAUCCGGAUUUACUGGGUGUAAAGGGAGCGUAGACGGAGGAGCAAGUCUGAUGUGAAAAUCCGGGGCCCAACCCCGGAACUGCAUUGGAAACUGUUUAUCUAGAGUGUCGGAGAGGC